rnacentral:pre_miRNA from 1 species
UUGUGAAUCACCUGGGGAUCUUGUUAAAGUGCAGAUUCUGACUUACUGGGUUUGGGGUGGGGCCUGAGAGUCUGCAUUUCUAACAAGCUCCCAGUGCUGCUGGU